AGCUACUACUGCCCUUUUGCUCCCAGCUACACUUUGCUUCGCUUUCAGCCUUUUAGAGAACAAACUUAUUUCCAUGUGCAGCAAGGCUCAGAUUUUCUGUUUGCUAUUUAAGGGCAAAGUCCCAGGGCCUCUCCAUUGCUUUUGAUCCCAUCAAUCCAAUCAUAUAUUUCUCUAGUCAUUGGAGAGAUAUAAGGGAACUUCGUCUGCUUCUUUGGAACAUAUAUGCUGAAAAUAGUCCCUGAAAUGAAUUAAAGGGUUUGACAGGUAGAAGAUUUCACUCCAUCCACAAAUAGUUCGCAUAUACUUUGCAUUAUGAGACCUCUACCUGACUAGAAAGAAGUGGAGCCAGUAAGAUAAGCACUUCAGAAGUACGAAACAGACAUUGGAUAAAGCCAUUAGCAUGUUGAAAAACAAACAUUCAUUUUUUAGAAGGAUCUAAAACUUCUCAGUUUGUGUAGCUGGACUUUUUUUAAUUUUAAUAACAUGCUAAGGUUAAAAUACAUACUGUACCUGUUAGCGUAUU